rnacentral:lncRNA from 1 species
UUUUUUUUUUUUUUUUUUUUUUUUUUGAGAUGGAGUCUCCCUGUGUUGCCCAGGCUAGAGUGCAGUGGCGCCAUCUCAGCUCACUGCAACCUCUGCCUCCUGGGUUCAAGCAAUCCUCCUGCCUCAGCCUCUCGUGAACCUGAGAUUACAGGCGUAUGCUACCACACCCGGCUAAUUUUUUGUAUUUUUAGUAGAGACAGGGGUUUCACCACGUUGGUUAGGCUGGUCUCAAACUCCUGACCUCAGGUGAUCUGCCCGCCUUGGCCUCCCAAAGUGCUGGGAUUACAGGUGUGAGCCACCAUGCCCAGCCUAUCUUCCAUAUUUUCAAUGAAGCAUUUAGCACAGCUGCUUGCACACAGUAAGCACUCAAUGUCAGCUGCCAGUAAGAUGAUUACAUUUUCAACAGCUUUCUUGAGGUAUAUUUUAUGUAUUAUGAUUAUAUUUUGACUGUUAGGAAAAUCUUUCUGACACUGAGUUAAAAUCCCCCUCAGACCAUGCCCUUCCUCCGUGGGUUCCAAUUCUAUCCCCAGAAUCUCCUUAGAGCCUAUCUUCUCCCUUGCCUUGUUACAGUCUCUUAGGGAUUUGCAGUUACAGGCCAAACCUGUCUGGUGGGGCUUAGUCUGGCUUCCUCCUGUCUCUUGGUGACUCAGCCAUUGGUUGAUGGAUUGACAAGUCUCUGACAAGUCCCAGGAGCACUGCAGGUCGGGGGCUGCUGCCUUCUACCACAGAUCACAACAGCUACAUAAAUAAACUACAUAAUUUGCAAGGUCCAGUGCAAAGUGAAAAUGCCCAGCCCCUUGUUCAACAUUGUUAAGAAUUUCAAGACAGUGAUAGUAGAGGCUUAAACCAGGCAUGGGCCCUUACAAAUGCACAGGACUCACAUCCAUGAAUCAGCCCUAGCGGCAUCCUGUAUCUUCAGUUCUUCAUCACCUCAUCCCACCACCAUCCCAUCCCAUCAUGUGCUCAUGUGGAGGCUGAGCCUGGGAAGUUCCUAGUACACCAGAAAAACACAGAAAGCAUUUAGCACCAAGAGAGUUACAACUCACUUGUGCCCUCAAGUCCAUCAGUUCACUUUAAGUCUGCCUUGAACUUCACUGGCUAUAAGAUUCAGGCUGCCUACCAUCUCUCAGGCCCCCUUUGUCAGAGGCAGCCCUCUAAGUUUGGUGGAUUAGUGGUACAAACAGGAGACUAAGAGUUGGGACUUUCCAUUGCCUUCCUGAGGACACUCUAGUGUGUCUCUUAGAAACACAAGAUUUGAUGCUUUCAAAUCUUGAUACGGAGUUUCACUCUUGUCUCCCAGGCUGGAGUGCAAUGGC